rnacentral:rRNA from 1 species
CAUCGCCUCUUGAUUAAAUAUAAGAGGUCCAGCCUGCCCAGUGACAUAGUUUAACGGCCGCGGUACCCUAACCGUGCGAAGGUAGCAUAAUCACUUGUUCUUUAAAUAGGGACUCGUAUCAACGGCAUCACGAGGGCUGUACUGUCUCCUUUCUCCAAUCAGUGAAACUGAUCUCCCCGUGAAGAAGCGGGGAUAGACCU